CGCUGGCGGCAGGCUUAACACAUGCAAGUCGAGCGGGGAAAGGUAGCUUGCUACCUAACCUAGCGGCGGACGGGUGAGUAAUGCUUAGGAAUCUGCCUAUUAGUGGGGGACAACAUUCCGAAAGGAAUGCUAAUACCGCAUACGCCCUACGGGGGAAAGCAGGGGAUCUUCGGACCUUGCGCUAAUAGAUGAGCCUAAGUCAGAUUAGCUAGUUGGUGGGGUAAAGGCCUACCAAGGCGACGAUCUGUAGCGGGUCUGAGAGGAUGAUCCGCCACACUGGGACUGAGACACGGCCCAGACUCCUACGGGAGGCAGCAGUGGGGAAUAUUGGACAAUGGGCGAAAGCCUGAUCCAGCCAUGCCGCGUGUGUGAAGAAGGCCUUUUGGUUGUAAAGCACUUUAAGCGAGGAGGAGGCUACCGAGAUUAAUACUCUUGGAUAGUGGACGUUACUCGCAGAAUAAGCACCGGCUAACUCUGUGCCAGCAGCCGCGGUAAUACAGAGGGUGCGAGCGUUAAUCGGAUUUACUGGGCGUAAAGCGUGCGUAGGCGGCUUUUUAAGUCGGAUGUGAAAUCCCUGAGCUUAACUUAGGAAUUGCAUUCGAUACUGGGAAGCUAGAGUAUGGGAGAGGAUGGUAGAAUUCCAGGUGUAGCGGUGAAAUGCGUAGAGAUCUGGAGGAAUACCGAUGGCGAAGGCAGCCAUCUGGCCUAAUACUGACGCUGAGGUACGAAAGCAUGGGGAGCAAACAGGAUUAGAUACCCUGGUAGUCCAUGCCGUAAACGAUGUCUACUAGCCGUUGGGGCCUUUGAGGCUUUAGUGGCGCAGCUAACGCGAUAAGUAGACCGCCUGGGGAGUACGGUCGCAAGACUAAAACUCAAAUGAAUUGACGGGGGCCCGCACAAGCGGUGGAGCAUGUGGUUUAAUUCGAUGCAACGCGAAGAACCUUACCUGGUCUUGACAUAGUAAGAACUUUCCAGAGAUGGAUUGGUGCCUUCGGGAACUUACAU
rnacentral:rRNA from 1 species